rnacentral:rRNA from 2 species
AGAGUUUGAUCAUGGCUCAGAACGAACGCUGGCGGCAGGCUUAACACAUGCAAGUCGAACGCACCUUCGGGUGAGUGGCAGACGGGUGAGUAACGCGUGGGAACGUGCCCUUCAGUUCGGAAUAACCCAGGGAAACUUGGGCUAAUACCGGAUACGUGCGAGAGCAGAAAGAUUUAUCGCUGAAGGAUCGGCCCGCGUCUGAUUAGCUAGUUGGUGGGGUAAUGGCCCACCAAGGCGACGAUCAGUAGCUGGUCUGAGAGGAUGAUCAGCCACAUUGGGACUGAGACACGGCCCAAACUCCUACGGGAGGCAGCAGUGGGGAAUAUUGGACAAUGGGCGCAAGCCUGAUCCAGCCAUGCCGCGUGAGUGAUGAAGGCCUUAGGGUUGUAAAGCUCUUUCGGCGGGGACGAUAAUGACGGUACCCGCAGAAGAAGCCCCGGCUAACUCUGUGCCAGCAGCCGCGGUAAUACAGAGGGGGCAAGCGUUGUCCGGACUUACUGGGCGUACAGCGCGCGCAGGCGGUCGCAUAUGUGCCCGGUGACAUCUGCUCGCUUAACGAGCAGCGGCCCGGGUAGACAGUGUGACUGGAGGCAGGGAGAGGGAUGUGGAAUACCCGGUGGAGCGGUGAAAUUCGUAGAUAUUGGGUGGAACACCGGUGGCGAAAGCGGCUCACUGGCUCGGUUCUGACGCUGAGGCGCGAAAGCGUGGGGAGCAAACAGGAUUAGAUACCCCCGUAGUCC